rnacentral:rRNA from 1 species
CCGCGGUAACACCGGCAGCCCGAGUGGUGAUCACUAUUAUUGGGUCUAAAGGGUCCGUAGCCGGUUUAAUCAGUCUUCUGGGAAAUCUAAUCGCUUAACUAUUAGGCUUCCAGGGGAUACUGUUAGACUUGGGACCGGGAGAGGUAAGAGGUACUGCAGGGGUAGGAGUGAAAUCUUGUAAUCCCUGUGAGACCACCAGUGGCGAAGGCGUCUUACCAGAACGGGUCCGACGGUGAGGGACGAAAGCUGGGGGCACGAACCGGAUUAGAUACCCGGGUAGUCCCAGCUGUAAACGAUGCUCGUUAGGUGUCAGGAACGGUGCGACUGUUUCUGGUGCCGAAGGGAAGCCGUGAAACGAGCCACCUGGGAAGUACGGCCGCAAGGCUGAAACUUAAAGGAAUUGGCGGGGGAGCACUACAACGGGUGGAGCCUGCGGUUUAAUUGGACUCAACGCCGGAAAACUCACCGGGGGCGACAGCAAUAUGUAGGUCAGGUUAAAGGUCUUACCUGAAUCGCUGAGAGGAGGUGCAUGGCCGUCGUCAGUUCGUACUGUGAAGCAUCCUGUUAAGUCAGGCAACGAGCAAGACCCGUGCCCACUGUUACCAGCAUAUCCUUUAUGGAUGAUGGGGACUCUGUGGGGACCGCUGCUGCUAAAGCAGAGGAAGGUGCGGGCUACGGUAGGUCAGUAUGCCCCGAAUCUCCCGGGCUACACGCGGGCUACAAUGGUUGGGACAAUGGGUAUCUACUCCGAAAGGAGUUGGCAAUCUCUUAAACCCAAUCGUAGUUCGAAUUGAGGGCUGUAACUCGCCCUCAUGAAGCUGGAAUCCGUAGUAAUCGCGUUUCAACAUAGCGCGU